UUGCCCUAAUCAUGGUCAUAAUCUACGGAUGAAAGUGGGGGAUUCGCAAGGACCUCAUGCUUUUGGAGCGGCCGAUAUCUGAUUAGCUAGUUGGUGAGGUAAAGGCUCACCAAGGCAUCGAUCAGUAGCUGGUCUGAGAGGACGACCAGCCACACUGGAACUGAGACACGGUCCAGACUCCUACGGGAGGCAGCAGUGGGGAAUUUUGGACAAUGGGGGCAACCCUGAUCCAGCAAUGCCGCGUGAGUGAAGAAGGCCUUCGGGUUGUAAAGCUCUUUUGUCAGGGAAGAAACGGUGGUCUCUAAUAUAGAUUGCUAAUGACGGUACCUGAAGAAUAAGCACCGGCUAACUACGUGCCAGCAGCCGCGGUAAUACGUAGGGUGCAAGCGUUAAUCGGAAUUACUGGGCGUAAAGCGUGCGCAGGCGGUUAUGUAAGUCAGAUGUGAAAUCCCCGGGCUUAACCUGGGAAUGGCAUUUGAGACUGCAUGGCUAGAGUGUGUCAGAGGGGGGUAGAAUUCCACGUGUAGCAGUGAAAUGCGUAGAGAUGUGGAGGAAUACCGAUGGCGAAGGCAGCCCCCUAGGAUAACACUGACGCUCAUGCA
rnacentral:rRNA from 1 species